AUUGAACGCUGGCGGCAGGCCUAACACAUGCAAGUCGAACGAGUGGCGGACGGGUGAGUAAUGUCUGGGAAACUGCCUGAUGGAGGGGGAUAACUACUGGAAACGGUAGCUAAUAACGCAUACCAUCGGAUGUGCCCAGAUGGGAUUAGCUAGUAGGUGGGGUAACGGUUCACCUAGGCGAAGAUCCCUAGCUGGUCUGAGAGGAUGACCAGACACACUGGAACUGAGACACUGUCCAGACUCCUACGGGAGGCAGCAGUGGGGAAUAUUGCACAAUGGGCGCAAGCCGUAUGCAGCCAUGCCGAGUGUAUGAAGAAGGCCUUCGGGUUGUAAAGUACUUGCAGCGGGGAGGCGUUACCCGCAGAAGAAGCACCGGCUAACUCCGUGCCAGCAGCCGCGGUAAUAC
rnacentral:rRNA from 1 species